AUAACUGUGGUAAUUCUAGAGCUAAUAUUUUAAAGAAUGCCGUGACUCACGAAGCGGCGGAUUUAUUAGAUCAAAACUAAUCUGUCGCAAGACAGAAAUUUGAUGACUCUGGAUAACUUUACUGAUCGUACAACACUCGGUUGACGACAAAUCUCUUGAAAUGGCUGACCUAUCAACUUUAGAUGGUAAGAUCAAAGCUUACCAUGGUUGUAACGGGUAACGGGGAAUCAGUGUUCGAUUCCGGAGAGGGAGCCUGAGAAACGGCUACCACAUCCACGGAAGGCAGCAGGCGCGAAAAUUACCCAAUACCGGUUCGGUGAGGUAGUGACAAUAAAUAACAAUAUGGGCCCUUAGUGGUUUCAUAAUUGCAAUGAGAUUAUUUUAAAUACUUUUUCAAGUAUCAAUUGGAGGGCAAGUCUGGUGCCAGCAGCCGCGGUAAUUCCAGCUCCAAAAGCGUAUAUUAAAGUUGUUGCAGUUAAAAAGCUCGUAGUUGAAAUUGGGGAAACGAUUUAAUGAACCGUCUAUGAUGGUGAUUUUUAUCUUCCUUCGUCGUCGUGUAUAUUGUUGAGUCACUUUAUUGAGAUUUAGCAGUAACCGACAAGUUUACUUUGAAAAAAUUAGAGUGCUUAAAGCAGGCUUAUGCUUGUAUAUUGUUGCAUGGAAUAAUGAAAUAAGACUUUGGUUUUAUUUUGUUGGUUUUCGAAACUAAAGUAAUGAUUAAAAGAGACUGCCGGGGGCAUAUGUAUGCUGGUGCUAGAGGUGAAAUUCUUAGACCAUCAGCAGACAAUCUACU
rnacentral:rRNA from 1 species